AUGAACGCUGGCGGCGUGCCUAAUACAUGCAAGUCGAGCGAACGGACGAGAAGCUUGCUUCUCUGAUGUUAGCGGCGGACGGGUGAGUAACACGUGGAUAACCUACCUAUAAGACUGGGAUAACUUCGGGAAACCGGAGCUAAUACCGGAUAAUAUUUUGAACCGCAUGGUUCAAAAGUGAAAGACGGUCUUGCUGUCACUUAUAGAUGGAUCCGCGCUGCAUUAGCUAGUUGGUAAGGUAACGGCUUACCAAGGCAACGAUGCAUAGCCGACCUGAGAGGGUGCGGGGCAACAGGAGGCAUGAGACCGGGACGAGAGCAAGACGGGGGGAGGAAGGGGGGGAUUUUCCGGAAUGUGGUAGAGUCUAAAGACACAGCGAGGAGGGAGUGAUAAAGUUGUUGGAAACGUAAAACUGUGUUAUGGGGGAAAAACAUAUGGCAACGUAACGGUGCCAAUCAGGAGGUGACUUAAUAGGAAGAACACGACUAAUCAGGUG
rnacentral:rRNA from 1 species